rnacentral:lncRNA from 1 species
CUUAACAAUUUACGGUCAUCUUUUAACCAAUUACGGUCAGCCUUGUUAUGAAUCGCUAAUCCUUUUACGGUCAUCUCGAUUACGAUUUGCGGUCAUCCUAGCGAAUUUUUCAAAUCCAAAUUCCCGUUUUAUACACGUUCCUCGGUAGAGAUUUGUGACUUCCGUGUGAAUCUUUUAUAAAUUUACAUCGUAUCAAAGUAUGCUUUGUAAAGAAAAUGAUGUAGAAACACCUUAACA